rnacentral:piRNA from 1 species
UGGACUCUAUGUGGACAUCCACCCAUUCCAA